rnacentral:tRNA from 1 species
GGCUGGAGAGAUGGCUCAGUGGUUAAGAGCACUGACUGCUCUUCCAAAGGUCCUGAGUUCAAUUCCCAGCAACCA